UACGAAGGGGACUAGCGUUGUUCGGAAUUACUGGGCGUAAAGCGCACGUAGGCGGAUUUGUAAGUCAGGGGUGAAAUCCCGGGGCUCAACCUCGGAACUGCCUUUGAUACUGCAAAUCUCGAGUCCGAUAGAGGUGGGUGGAAUUCCUAGUGUAGAGGUGAAAUUCGUAGAUAUUAGGAAGAACACCCGUGGCGAAGGCGGCCUCUCUGGGACGGUACUGACGCAUGAGACGGCGAAA
rnacentral:rRNA from 1 species